rnacentral:rRNA from 1 species
AGAGUUCGAUCCUGGCUCAGAACGAACGCUGGCGGCGCGUUUUAAGCAUGCAAGUCGAGCGGCAAGUGCAGCGAUGCACCUAGAGCGGCGGACGGGUGAGUAACACGUGGAUAAUCUGCCCCGCAGUCGGGGAUAGCCUGUGGAAACACAGGAUAAUACCGGAUGAGCUUCCUAGGCCACAAGGCCCGGGAAGGAAAGGAGCCACGGCUCCGCUGAGGGAUGAGUCCGCGGCCCAUUAGCUGGAUGGCGGGGUAAAGGCCCACCAUGGCGAUGAUGGGUAGCCGGCCUGAGAGGGUGGACGGCCACAUUGGAACUGAGACACGGUCCAGACUCCUACGGGAGGCAGCAGCUAAGAAUCUUCCACAAUGGACGAAAGUCUGAUGGAGCGACGCCGCGUGGACGACGAAGGCCGUGAGGUUGUAAAGUCCUUUUCCGGAGGGGGAACAACCCGUGCAGGGAAUGGCAUGGGGAUGACGUGAAUCCGGGAACAAGCCCCGGCUAACUACGUGCCAGCAGCCGCGGUAACACGUAGGGGGCGAGCGUUGUUCGGAAUCAUUGGGCGUAAAGGGCGCGCAGGCGGCUCGGCAAGUCUGCUGUCAAAUGGUCGUGCUCAACACGAUCAUGCGGUGGAAACUGCUGGGCUUGAGUCGACGAGGGGAUGCCGGAAUUCCAGGUGUAGGGGUGAAAUCUGUAGAUAUCUGGAAGAACACCAAUGGCGAAGGCAGGCCGCCAGCAGAUUACUGACGCUGAGGUGCGAAGGUGCGGGGAGCAAACAGGAUUAGAUACCCUGGUAGUCCGCACAGUCAACUAUGCACACUAGGUGUCUGGGUCUAAGCCCGGGUGCCGCAGCAAACGCGAUAAGUGUGCCGCCUGGGGAGUAUGCCCGCAAGGGUGAAAC